GAGGACUGGCCUUGCAGGGUGC
rnacentral:miRNA from 1 species